UAACCAUUUGUAUUGAUAAUGCUGUCACAUGCGUGUGUCUGAGAAAUUGUUCGGGUUAGGAUUGUUUUUAUGUGAGUACAAACAUAAAACCUGUGAGUGCAAAGUCUUGUGAAUACAACUCUUAACUGUAAGACUACGAAUUCAGAUUUGUGGGUACGAGUCGAAAAGGCGUUGAAAUGACGUCACUGAGGUCACAGGCAGGUCACAGGGGAAAGUAAUCGAACCGCGAUUUUCCCAACUGCGCAUGUUCCAAAUUCAAAGAUGGCUGACGACAGCGAACCGGGCGACUCAGCAUCACAGGUAAAGUCAAUAACGUGUGUAUCAAGUAUUUGUUUCAUGAAAUUGUACUGUUUUAAAAUAAUAUACAGUUGUUGGACUUACAGACUUACUGCUUUAGCUUGUAAGGUAACGACAUGCGGGCCGACCACGCUAAGUUAGUGAUAGCAUUACUAGCGUAAGAAGUUAGCUUGUGCUAAUUAAUUAGCAAAGACCUGCAAAAUAUGAAAUAGUUAAUUUAACUGAAUUCUCCUCUGUGCUCCUCUGAUCAGACCGGCGUCCCUGGCCACAGUGUGUUAUACUUAACUUCUGUUUACAGAAAUAACAGAGUGUAGGAAAGGGGAAUGGUGUCAGUGUUGGUCAGUGGAGGUGGAUGGGUGGCACCUGGACAGGUUGCAGCAGAGGGGGGCAGGGCAGUCAAACCCGUUGAAGAAGUUGUUUAACUGGUUAGCCCACAUUGGCUCCCUCUCUUGGAGCUGUAUCCAGUGAUGGUCUUCAUGCCAUCCCACACCUCUCUGGUGCUGUUCAGCUGCAGUUUCUGCUCCACUUUCCUUCUGUAGGUGUCCUUAGCCUCUUUCGGCUGGACUUUGAGGAGCCUUUGUAUGUGACUCAGCUCCACCUGAUCACCAUCCUUGAAGGCUCUCUUCUUUUGGUUGAGGAGGUCCUUGAUGUUGCUGGUAACCCAAGAUUUUCUAUCUGGAACCAGCAACAAUUAGCCGUUCAAACAUUGCUCAUUCAUUUUUUCUGAAGGCAGUGGGAAAAGUAUGGCUGGCCUUCCAGGUAAACAAUGAUAUAAACUUGGGCUAUGGUUUUCCAUGCCCUGAUUACUCAUUUCAUUAAUGUUCGAUUGAAUAUUUUGUUGUGAUGAAUAUGGCAGAACAUUUCUCCCAUGUAAUUUCAAGGGUCAGCGGUGAUGAGGGUGUUGAAAAUGUCUCGAUUGCUGAAACCAUGUUCACUGUUAAAGGCACUGGAAGAGGGAGCUUCAUAGCUGGGCGGAGUGUACAUAAUCAGAGGUUACAAUAAUAAUUCACAUAAUUUACUGUAUGUCAGUAGUAAAAUGUAAACUGGGAAAUUAUUGUUGUAAAGUAUUUUCAGUCAGUCAAUUUUUAUUGUUUUUCAGCUGAUCAAGUUCUGUUUCUGAUCUAGAAUCGAGCGCCUGUGGCGAGAUGUCUGGACCAGCGUGACACACCUUUACUGUGAAGCUCUUCACAGUCUGGAGGAAGAUGGCCUGUUGCAUCUGGCAGAUGCUGUUCAUCUGUUUUGUGCCCACUAUGUUUUCCUGCCGUGUCUGGCAGACGCCCUUCACACCUUCACAGAAGGCUGGGACAACCAUCAUUUACGGACUGAAGGUGGACUCUCCCCAAACCAGCUCUGGGUUUUGGGUCACAUGAAGAACCCUUGUGACCCAAACAAAGAUUUGCAGAGCAUGGAGCUAUUUGGAACUGACUGGGAGAUGUCUGAUGCUGUGCAUGAGGAACCAUAUGAAGUUCAAGUCCAGGAAACUGAGUGCCCCCUUGAAUCCGUACAUUGUGGAAACUGUACAGUCCAUGAUAAAUCCAUUGGCAUCAUCAGAAUCAUUUGGCAGAGACAUUUACAUAACAAUGGUUCAGUGUAUUGAAAGUCUAAGUGCAGCACAAGAAAUGCCUGAGAUGUAACAAGACUUUAACAUGAGACAGGAGUCCCAAACAUUUUUAUUGAAAAACAUUUUGAACUUUCCCAUGAAAUUUCCAUUACAAUCAUCAGAAUUAAAUUUGUGAAAACCAAAAAUUACUGUGGGUACCCUGAAGAGUAACUACUAACUAAUAAACUAACUAAUUUUGGAGUAAACCAUCAUUAACAGAAAAACAAUGGUUUUCUGAGUACAAAAAAAAGUUGACUGAAACAGGAAGUUGUCACAUAAAAAUUACAAAAGAAUAAAACAUGAUUACACAUGUCGCAGUGACUUUGUUGUUUUCCUUUAGACUUCAGUGUUUUCAGGUGAGCUGAGGGGAACGUGACUGUACGACUGCAAGCACUUACAGCUGGAAAACAAACGGGGAAACCAAACAACCACUUCACAGAAGAAUGGCACAGCACAAGACUCAGCAGUUCACCUACACCUCAAAGAAAAGGGACACUCUUUGAGGACAACAACGUUCACAUUUUAGACAGAGAGGACAGGUGGUAUGAAAGAGGAGUCAAGGAAGCAUCUAUGCUAAGUUGGAAAACCCUCCUUUAACAGAGGUGGUGGACUCAGACAUCAUCUUUCUUCCACUUACAACCCAGUGCUGCCUUCCAUUCCCAGGAAGUUUCAUUCCAAACCCCAUGAUUCCAGCAAGAACAACAGGGUCGUUACCCUGUCCCAGCACAGCGCCCUCUGCAGGCUCAUAGUCGUUAGACACACUUGGCACUGACAGCCAGACAUACACAGAUAAAUAUCAAAGACACUUAGAUACUUUGUGAGUUUCACACAGACUCACCCACAAAGGUCCUCUACCACAUAUAAACCUGUUUCCUCAGCAAACUAUUUUAGAACUGGUGAAGCUGCUUGGAGGAGCAGAGAAACGUCUUCAAGAAAACUCUACAAGUCACCAGACACCGUGCUUCAACCCUUCUGAAUGAAAAUGACCUGGAUGACUGAGAAUCUUCAUCGACUUGUGACUGGAUCACAGGCAUUAUGUUGUCACAUUAUGUUGACACCUCCAGUCAUUGUCAAUAUAACUAUGCAAGUCAUCCAUCUGUAAGGCUAAGUCUACUUUCAUGAUGCUGUGUUAUUCUAGACAUCACAAUAUUAUAUGUCAUCAAUUAUAUUCAUUUUAAAUAGUGACAUCAAGUUUCCAAAAACGCUUAGGUUUCAUGGGUUAGAAUCUAGUUUGAAUCAAUUAACCAUUUACACUGCACUGUGUACAAUGAACUGCAGGGUAGCAGAAAAAAAUAACCUCUUAAUUACCCUACC